rnacentral:rRNA from 1 species
AGUGAACGCUGGCGGUAGGCCUAACACAUGCAAGUCGAACGGCAGCACAGUAAGAGCUUGCUCUUACGGGUGGCGAGUGGCGGACGGGUGAGGAAUACAUCGGAAUCUACUUUUUCGUGGGUGAUAACGUAGGGAAACUUACGCUACUACCGCAUAUGACCUACGGGUGAAAGCAUGGGAUCUUCGGGCCUUUCGCGAUUGAAUGAGCCGAUUUCGGAUUAGCUAGUUGGCGGGGUAAAGGCCCACCAAGGCAACGAUACGUAGCUGGUCUGAGAGGAUGAUCAGCCACACUGGAACUGAGACACGGUCCAGACUCCUACGGGAGGCAGCAGUGGGGAAUAUUGGACAAUGGGCGCAAGCCUGAUCCAGCCAUACCGCGUGAGUGAAGAAGGCCUUCGGGUUGUAAAGCCCUUUUGUUGGGAAAGAAAAGCAGCAGGUUAAUCCCCCGCUGUUCUGACGGUACCCAAAGAAUAAGCACCGGCUAACUUCGUG